rnacentral:lncRNA from 13 species
UCUGUGCCUGGCUUAGUUUACUCAACAGCAUAACCUCUACUUCCAUGCAUGUGGUUGCAAAUGACAGGAUCAUAUUCUUUUUUUUUUUUUUUUUUGCCAAAUAAAUUCUGUUCUACUCACACUUCAAUGUGUCCUUGAGACUAAUCUUUCCUGGUUGUGUGACAAGAACCUGGUUUUAGCUAAACUAAGGAGCAAAGUUUUGUAUCUGAGGGAGCAGGGCAUGUAUAUGACUCCUCUAGAAAUUGCAGUAGAUUAUUUAGCUUUAGUCUCUUUGAAAGUCCUUGACAUAGCCCAUUUUAUUCCAUAUGUGUACAGAGAGAAUAUCAUUUUACAUUCCCAAGUAGAAUUAUUAUAUUUUUGACUUUAUUUCCUUCAUAUUUAUUACUAGAAACUUUAUUCGGGACUGCUAAAAGUUAUUAAAAUGAAUGUGUAGCUAUUUUAAAAAUCAUUUUUUCUAGUCACAUGAAUUAUCACAUUUAUUUUUCUGUAGAUAUAGCUUUGGAGCCAAACCCUUCUGAUGAUCUUCCUCUGAAAAUUUAAAGCAUUCUUCCUCCGAAAAUCUCAAGCAGAUGGUGACACUAUAUUGUUUUUUCCACCAGGAAGAGGACUGAAAACGCUCUGUCAUAAUGAGUGUAUUAUAGAAAAGAUUUAGAGAAACUUACAUUGAUUUAAAUGUUUCAACUUUUCAUAUAUUCACUUGUCCUGUUUUAACAUGUGAUAUACUUCUCUUAGUUGUUACUAUGUUAGUGAAAACAUGUAAAUUUCUGUCUAUACGUUUUGCUACCUUUUAUCAAUAUAAUUUGCCACAUGAUUUAAGAUAAUUCUUUGUCUUUUGCCCUUUCCCUUUGCUCCAAAGGGUUCAUCUUAAUUAUGAAUGAUAGAAUUUAGGCUUCAGCUUCAUUUUAUUAAAACAAAUUAAAAAGUCAGUUGUUCAUCAGUGGGGAUUGAAUUUGUGAUUUCGGCCUCCUCUUAUAUGGUGCUCUAACCACAUGAGUUUAUCACAUCCAAGUUUAUGCUACUCAGAACUUUUAAGAUAUUAACCUUUUCAUAUUAAUGUAAUAUAAAUUUAAACAUCCACUACUUUUGAUUAUUUUUAAAUGUUAUGUUAAAUCCUAGUUUGUUUGAUAAAAAAGCCAUAUACAACCAAGUUUUUUAGUUGAUUUCAACAGCAAGAAUACAAAUGAGUGUUCUAGAAUAAUAUUUGAAGUAAUGCAGCACAAUAAAAUAUGAGUUUUGGGUUUUGGUGGGGCUCA